rnacentral:rRNA from 1 species
UACGGGGGGGGCAAGCGUUGUUCGGAAUUACUGGGCGUAAAGGGCUCGUAGGCGGCCAACUAAGUCAGACGUGAAAUCCCUCGGCUUAACCGGGGAACUGCGUCUGAUACUGGAUGGCUUGAGUUUGGGAGAGGGAUGCGGAAUUCCAGGUGUAGCGGUGAAAUGCGUAGAUAUCUGGAGGAACACCGGUGGCGAAGGUGGCAUCCUGGACCAACACUGACGCUGAGUGAAGCGGAAAGCCAGGGGAGCAAAACGGGG